rnacentral:rRNA from 1 species
GAGGAAGGUUUUUGGUUGUAACCUUUUUUUCAGGGAAGAACCAAAUGACGGUCCUGAGGAAUUAGCAUGGUAACUUCGUGCCAGCAGCCGCGGUAAUACGGAGGUGCAAGGUUAUCCGGAAUGAUUGGGCGUAAAGCGUCCGCAGGUGGCAGUGUAAGUCUGCUGUAAAGAGUGAGGCUCAACCUCAUAAAAGCAGUGGAAACUACACAGCUAGAGUGCGUUCGGGGCAGAGGGAAUUCCUGGUGUAGCGGUGAAAUGCGUAGAGAUCAGGAAGAACACCGGUGGCGAAAGCGCUCUGCUAGGCCGCAACGACACUGAGGGACGAAGCUUG